AAAAUGGCGGGAAAUCCAGAAACUGGAGGGACAUGUUGGUAUCUACACCACAGGACGCCAUUUUCCCUCGUCCUUACAAGGAUUCGUUUAUCCCGCAUGCUACUUCCCAUCACUUCAAAUCUUUGGGCGGAUCGCACAGAAAUAGUUUUGACAGCAGAUUGCAGAAAUGGUAACUGGUUUGUUUCCAGAUAUAGUAACAUUGCGAGUCAACAGUACCAAUGAUUUGUAGUGUAAUUUUGUAUUUAUAUGCAAAACAAUUUAUUUAGACUUGUAUAUCCUAUGAACUUGGUUAAUAACAUGUGUUUUGUGUACAAUGUAGUCUUGGCACCGCAUCGUUGUAUCCCUAUUUGUAUUUUCAAUGUGUUUUUUUUUUCAAUUCUAAUACGUUUUCAUUAAAGGAUAUCACCACUCUUUUAUUGCUUAUAAAUAUAUAUGACCAUGUGAUUUUUAACUCGUACAAGUAUUAAAAAUUCGAUAUAAA